AUUUUUUGGGGUCCCCUCUCCAUUUUUUGGUUUCUUUGGGGGGGAUUUUUUAGAAUUCUUUGGGAAUCUUUCAGGGGUUUUUUUUGGGGGGAUUUUUUAGGAUUUUUUUUUUUUAUUUUUGGCUCUUCUCCCCCAAAUUUCGCCCAUUUUCUCGGGGAUUUUUUGUUGCCCCCCGUUUUUUGGGGUCCCCUGUCCGUGUUUUGGGGUCCCCCGUGGGUUUUGGGGUCAGUUUUUGGGUACCUUGUGCACGGCCUUGCGCAGGAUGUCCUUGUACUCGUCCUUGGUGAUGUCCUUGCGCUGGUAGAAGGGUUUGAUGGCGAGUUUCACCUCCUCCACCGCGCGCUCCUGCGUGUGCAGCUUCUUCAGGUACUGCGGGGGAGGGGAAGCCGGGGUCACUCAGGGGUCAGCCGGGGUCAGCCGGGGUCAGAUGGGGGUCACUCGGGGUCAUCAGGGGUCAGUCAGGGGUCAUUUGGAGUCAGCCAGGGUCAUCGGGGGUCAGUCAGGGGUCAGCUGAGGUCACUCAGGGGUCAUCUGGGGUCACUUAGGGGUCAUUUGGGGUCAGUCAGGGGUCAGUCAGGGUCACUCAGGGUCACUCAGGGGUCACUCAGGGUCACUCACGGGUCAGCCGGGGUCUGUCAGUGGUCAUUUGGGGUCACUCAGGGGUCAUUUGGGGUCACUCAGGGUCAGUCAGGGGUCAGCCGGGGUCACUCGAGGUCAUCUGGGGUCAGUCAGGGUCACUCGAGGCCAUUUGGGGUCAGUCAGGGUCACUCAGGGGUCAGUCAGGGUCAUUAAAGGUCACUCAUGGUCACUCAGGUCCCUGCGUGUGCAGCUUCUCCAGGUACUGCUGGGGAUGAAAUCUGGGGUCACUCGAGGUCAUCUGGGGUCAUUCAAGGUUACUCAAAGGUCAUUUGGGGUCAGUCAGGGUCAUAUGGGGUCACCCAGGGGUCAUUCGGGUCCCUGCCUGUGCAGCUUCUUCAGGUGCUGCGGGAAUUUGGGAGUUUGGGGUCACUCAAGGUCAUUGGGGUCAUUCACGGUCACUCAGGGUCAUCUGAAGGAACUCAGGGUCACUCGGGGUCACUCGAGGUCACUCGAGGUCAUUCAUAAUCACUCAAAAUCAUCCGAGGCCAUUUGUGGUGAUUUGUGUUAAUUAAAGGUCAUUUGGGGUCGCUCAGGGGUCACUUGAGGUCACUCAGGGGUCACUGCUGCGUGUGCAGCUUCUUCCGGUACUGCGGGGACAUCCGGGGUCACUCGGGGUCACUCGGGGUCAUUUGUGAUCAUUAGAGGUCGCUUGGGGUCAGCCAGGGGUCACUUGGGUUCACUCAGGGGUCAUUUGUGGCGAUUUGGGGUCAGCCAGGGGUCAUUUGGGGUCACUAGAGGUCACUUGGGGUCGUUCAGGGUCAUUUGGGGUCACUCAGGAGACAUUCAAGGUCAGUCAGGGUCAUUGGCAGUCAGGGUUAUUUUUGGUCACUCGGGGUCACUCGGGGUCACUCAGGGGUCACUCUGGUCCCUGCGUGUGCAGCUUCUUCCGGUACUGCGGGAGUUUGGGGUCACUUGGGGUCAUUAAAGGUCAUUUGAGGAAAUUCAGGGUCAUUCGGGGUCACUCAGGGUCACUCAAAGUCAUUUGUGAUCAUUAAAGGUUUUUUGGGGUCACUCCCCCCCCCCCCCCCCCCCCCCCCCCCCCCCCCCCCCCCCCCCCCCCCCCCCCCCCCCCCCCCCCCCCCCCCCCCCCCCCCCCCCCCCCCC
rnacentral:lncRNA from 12 species